AGCUCUGUAACAAGACAUGGAUAAUCCUCAACCAACUUCAUUUUAAUUUUAUUUAUACUGGUUAUUUAUUCACUUUGUAUUGUAUGGUAUGAUGUUAUAAGCACAGCUAUGGCUACGAAAGAUCAUAAAGGUAAGUUUACAGUAGGUAUUGGACAAGAUAGGAAAAUAUAUAUAAAUAAAUAAAUAAAAAGCAAAAAUAAUAAAUAAAUAAUUAAAAUAAAAUAAGAUAAUUAAAUAAAUAAAAUAAAUAAAUAAAGUAAUUUCGGUGAAUAUUAAUAACAAAUUCUAAUCUACAACAUAAAAACAAAACGUGAUUGGUUCCGGUAAAAACAUGGUAGUUUACAAACAAAAUCUCACUAGCUUAGGUCUCCAUGUAUCAAUAAUAAACACGUAUUUGAAAGAUAUUUCAAUGAUCAGGGGCGUCACAUAUAUAAAACCCAGCGCCAUCUUGGACUUUUACUUUUGACUGUCAACACUACUCGACAAAGGAUUCAAGCUACAACCCGGGCAUCUGACAAUAGCAUGGUUUCAGGGAGACUGGGCUAGGAUAAAAAUUAACUAAAAAAAAAAUUUCAUGGAGGCAUUCCCAAAUUAAAACAGGAGGAAGGAAACCAUAAGAUAACAAACUUAAGAUUCUGAGGCAUCUUCAUACCCAUCUUUUGGAAAGGUUCUAGGCAAGAACAGAAACCGAGUUCCUGAGUUUCCCAGUAAAAGGGAUGAAAGAAAUAAGAUAAACCAGUACUCGGUAAGUGUCCAUGAGAACAUGCAGCAAGCCAUUAUUUUGCUUCCUAUGACAUGCACACCACCAUGACAUAGUCAAGUUUGUUAGACAAAACAAGUAAUUUAUUUCCAUGGUUUUGCAGCCUACCUCCUUCAAAGCAAUCAUUUGAGCUAUUUCAUCUGUGCAGUUUCAACUGGUAGAGGACAUGCUAAACCUGUCAUACAUAUCAUCAUACAACUGUCACACACACACACACACACACACACACACACACACACACACACACA